GGCGAAAUUGUAGUGCAAGUGAAGAUGCUUGCUACCCGCGAUUGGACGGAAAGACCCCGUAGAGCUUUACUGUAGCUUAGCAUUGAAUCUCGGUAUUGUCUGUACAGGAUAGGUGGGAGACUUGGAAACUUGGGCGUCAGCCUGAGUGGAGUCAUCCUUGGGAUACCACCCUGACAGUACUGGGGUUCUAACCGGCGGCCAUGAAUCUGGUCACGGGACAUUGUUAGGUGGGCAGUUUGACUGGGGCGGUCGCCU
rnacentral:rRNA from 1 species